rnacentral:rRNA from 1 species
AUUGAACGCUGGCGGCAUGCCUUACACAUGCAAGUCGAACGGUAACAGGUCUUCGGAUGCUGACGAGUGGCGAACGGGUGAGUAAUACAUCGGAACGUGCCCGAGAGUGGGGGAUAACGAGGCGAAAGCUUUGCUAAUACCGCAUACGAUCCCAGGAUGAAAGCAGGGGACCGCAAGGCCUUGCGCUCACGGAGCGGACGAUGGCAGAUUAGGGAGUUGGUGGGAUAAAAGCUUACCAAGCCGACGAUCUGUAGCUGGUCUGAGAGGACGACCAGCCACACUGGGACUGAGACACGGCACAGACUCCUACGGGAGGCAGCAGUGGGGAAUUUUGGACAAUGGGCGAAAGCCUGAUCCAGCCAUGCCGCGUGCAGGAUGAAGGCCUUCGGGUUGUAAACUGCUUUUGUACGGAACGAAAAGACUCUGGUUAAUACCUGGGGUCCAUGACGGUACCGUAAGAAUAAGCACCGGCUAACUACGUGCCAGCCGCCGCGGUAAGAC